rnacentral:rRNA from 1 species
UACGUAGGGUGCAAGCGUUGUCCGGAUUUAUUGGGCGUAAAGAGCUCGUAGGCGGUCUGUCGCGUCGGAUGUGAAAACCCAGGGCUCAACCCUGGGCCUGCAUUCGAUACGGGCAGACUAGAGUGUGGCAGGGGAGACUGGAAUUCCUGGUGUAGCGGUGAAAUGCGCAGAUAUCGGGAGGAACACCUGUGGCGAAAGCGGCGCACUGGACCACAACUGACGCUGAGGCGCGAAAGCGUGGGGAGCAAACAGG